rnacentral:lncRNA from 1 species
AUGACUGCAGUGAACCAGCAGUCUGACCUGGAUGAAGCUGACCAAGGCUCAGCAAACAAGUCCAAAACACUAUCUCCAAGGAUGGAUGCUAAGCCUAGUGAGAAGCCUCAGGAAGACAAACCCAUGGAAGCAUCAACACCCAAGAAGGUCAGUACCUUGGAAAGGAGAACCAGAAUAAAAGGCUUGGUCAAGCAGAAGACUGGAGGCAGGUAUGGUGCAAGCACACAGUGGGAUCUGGUGUCCCAGGUGGUUUUAUCUCAUUUAUAGCUGUAAUGGAAUGGAACAUGGCUGUCUUACAGGGUCCCAGUUGUUUGGUAUCUCACAUCCUGGAGCACUGAGAUGGCUUUUUCUCCCUGCUGUGGUUUUGGUUGCCCAAAUGUUUGGCUUUGGUGUGUGUC